GGAGGUGCCCAGCCCAGAGGCUGCUCUUUCCUGGUUAAAAGGAGAGCAGAGGAGGUGUUAGCAUCUGCCCUGGUGCGAAACUGAGGCCUGCUCCUCGAUGUAACUAGAAGGAUGCAAGGAACUAGGAUGAAAUUUUGUCUGCUGUGGCUUGAUUUUAUUUAACACCUUAUGCAUGUGCCUCAAAAAUGAUGUUGGGGAACCCCAACUGCAUCCUCCUAAGGCCCCUCUCUGGGAUAUGCAGGCCUUGGUGGUCUUGUUGGUCAUUUCCUGUGUAAAAGUUUGUGCAGCAUGCCUCCAGUUGUGUAAAGAAUGUAAAAGGGAAAUGUCUCAAAACAGAAGAAGACGCCUGUGGGCAGCACCUUCUGCAGAGUGAUCCUGGGAGCUGGAAAGAAGACUCACUUUUCAUUUUACAACCUUGGGCACUGUAAGGAUAUUUUGGGCUUGGUAUGUGUGUUUUGUUGUUGUUGUUUUUUGUUUGUUUUAUUAUACUUUAAGUUUUAGGGUACAUGUACACAACGUGCUGGUUAGUUACAUAUGUAUACAUGUGCCAUGUUGGUGUGCUGCACCCAUUAACUCAUCAUUUAACAUUAGGUAUAUCUCCUAAUGCUAUCCCUCCCCCUCCCCCCACCCCACAACAGGCCCCGGUGUGUGAUGUUCCCCUUCCUGUGUCCAUGUGUUCUCAUUGUUCAAUUCCCAC
rnacentral:lncRNA from 10 species